AUUGAACGCUGGCGGAAUGCUUUACACAUGCAAGUCGAACGGUAGAGGGGGCAACCCCUUGAGAGUGGCGAACGGGUGAGUAAUAUAUCGGAACGUGCCCAGUCGUGGGGAUAACGUAGCGAAAGUUACGCUAAUACCGCAUACGAUCUACGGAUGAAAGCGGGGGACUCGCAAGAGCCUCGCGCGAUUGGAGCGGCCGAUAUCAGAUUAGGUAGUUGGUGGGGUAAAGGCUCACCAAGCCAACGAUCUGUAGCUGGUCUGAGAGGACGACCAGCCACACUGGAACUGAGACACGGUCCAGACUCCU
rnacentral:rRNA from 1 species